rnacentral:lncRNA from 1 species
AUAUUUACGAAAUUGCUUUUUAUGUACAAGUUUAGAUUAUUAGCAUAAAUUGUUGGCUUAAAUGGAUUAGUAUUUUGACCUGUGGCGGAAGGCCAUGUUGGACCGAGUCAUAUUCGAAAUGGCGUGAUGCUGGGUGGGUCGAGUCAUGUUCGAAGUGGCGUGAGGCUGGUUGGGUCGAGUCACAAUCGAGACCCAUGGACGCUGCAUCUGUACUCUUUAAGUGAAUUGGUUGGGUUAUUUCUAACAGCUCGAACUUCUGGAAUUAAUAGUUAGCGCCAACGAUCCGACACAAAUAAUUUGCUUAGCGCUUGUUUGGACUAGU